AUGCCUUACUUAUGCCUUANNNNNNNNNNUUAUGCCUUAUUUAUGCCUUACUUAUGCCUUAUUUAUGCAUUACUUAUGCCUUAUUUAUGUCUUACUUAUGUCUUAUAUUUUUAUGGCACCUUUUUUAGAAAUUUAAUAUGGAAAAUGAACACCCCCCAUGAAACGUUUGACAAAUUUUUAGAAUUUUCAUUGAACGCCAAUAACCUUAACACCAAAAAAGAUGUGUCAACAAAAAAAAAAAAAAAAAAAAAAAAAGAAGAAGGAGAAGAAGAAGAAGAAAUAGAAGGAGAAGAAGAAGAAAUAGAAAUAGAAGAAGAAGGAAAAGCAGAAGAAGGAGAAAAAGCAGAAGGAGAAAAAGCAGAAGGAGAAAAAGCAGAAGGAGAAAAAAGAGAAGAAGUAGAAUUAGGAGAAGAAGUAAACGAAGACACAACACAACACAGUACAUCAUAGUACAGUAAUGUAAAAAUCAGCAAUCGAACAUAUGAUCAUAUAAAAUUGUAUAACAUGUUAUUUUUGCAUGAAAUCAUGUAUACGGUUAUUAGUUAUUAUAUGAAUAAUUUUUAUUGAUAAUUUUUUAUUUUUUUAUUUUUUUUUUUUGGUGAGGAAAACCGAUUUAAACUCUCUUCAAUUGUUAUUUUUGUAUCUAAAAGAAAUGUUUAUUUUUUAUGUUUGUCUUUUUUUAAAUUAAUAAAAAGUGUGACUAUAUACA
rnacentral:lncRNA from 1 species